AGCGCCGAUUCACAGUCCCUCAGAUUCACAGCACCUUCCAGCACUUCUGGAGCCAUGUAGCGGAUUGUCCCCACCUGGCAAUGGAGGAACAAACAGCCGGAGCAGACGCUGUGUAAUCCCUGGAAUGCAGUAGGACGACAUGGAUGGCGGGAGAGCGUGUCUGCAGAGGAGAUGGGCCGGCGUUGACACCGCCCUGAUCUCGCCACACACGGCGCUUUCAUUCACAGGUGUGGCGCAGGCCAAAGCAGUGCUUGCCCUUGGCACAUCGGAUGGUGGUGUUCUCUGGGGAGACCCUGCCUUCGCCCUCCGCCACUCGCUUGACCUCCCACUGCGGCAGCUGGUCCGUGAAGGCACACUCCCUCUCCUCACCCUGCGCAGCUGACAACACACAAAGAAGGUGACCCUAACUCACAUGAACAUCCACAUUGCGCAGCUCAGCCGCUUCAUCCCGACGUUGCAGAGACGGGCUUUCCGGGUUGCUGGGACAACAUCUACUGGUCCAAGGCCACCGCUGUUGGUUUGCUCAGCUACUGGACAUAGUGGCUAAAAUAGGUGGCCCCGCUAGCCAGUGUAGGAAGGUGGGGCACUCUGAUAUUGUAAAUAAAAA